AUUUAGAGGAAGGAGAAGUCGUAACAAGGUUUCCGUAGGUGAACCUGCGGAAGGAUCAUUGUCGGAACCUGCCCCGCAGAACGACCCGCGAACCAGUUUCUCCACGGGCGCGGGGGGAGCACUCGCCCCCCUCGGCCAGCCGUUGGGAGCGGCCCGUGCGGUCGCUGCCCUCGGCACACGAACAAAACCCCGGCGCCGGACGCGCCAAGGACCCAUGAAAAAAAAGAGCACGCCCAAUCGGCCCGGGAACGGGGCGAGGGGCGCGGCGUCUUUCGCUAUGAGCGGAAAAAACGACUCUCGGCAACGGAUAUCUCGGCUCUCGCAUCGAUGAAGAACGUAGCGAAAUGCGAUACUUGGUGUGAAUUGCAGAAUCCCGUGAACCAUCGAGUCUUUGAACGCAAGUUGCGCCCGAGGCCCACUGGCCGAGGGCACGUCCGCCUGGGUGUCACGCGUCGUCGCCCCAAAGCCCCCCCAAGCGGGGGGCCGGGGGCGGAUGUUGGCCUCCCGCGCGCUCCCGCUCGCGGUUGGCCCAAAAUCGAAGUCCCGGCGACGGUCGCCACGACGAGCGGUGGUUGAGAGACCCUCGGACACGGUCGUGCGCGUGCCUCGUCGCCUGUUCGGACCUCACGGACCCUCGAGCGCCGGUUUGCGGACGCUCUCGUUUGCGACCCCAGGUCGGGCGGGACUACCCGCUGAGU
rnacentral:rRNA from 1 species